rnacentral:rRNA from 1 species
AUGGAGAGGUACGAGGUGCUCAAGGACAUCGGUGACGGCAAUGUCAACGUCACGCGGAUGAUGUGGAACAAGGAGACUGAGGAGGUCGUCGCCAUGAAGUACAUCCCAUGGGGCUUCAAGCAUGAGAGAUAUAAUAUAUUCUUUUCAUCCUCACAAACUAUUGGAGAUGGAGCUCAUUUUGCAGAAUUUUCUACCGAGUUGCCAAAUUUUGAGGGCCUGCAAUUGAAGAAUACAACACUUUUUGUUGGAGUGGAGACUAGAGUAAUCAUAUCUGCUGCAAGAGAGAUGUAUUUUAUUUUUGUUGGACAUUUUCUGCAUCUUUUAUGGAUGGUAACAUUUGAGACAGCAAUUUCAGUGCAAGCCAUCAAGAUCAACUUCAACAUGUCUGGUCUCUAA